AGAAACUGGAGGGUGCCUGGGACCCGGAAGCCUUAGCACAGCUGUGGCGACUGGAAGAAGAGACACUCUGAAUUAUCACCAAUGACAAGCAGUGUGAUUGCGGUGGAGGAGAAAUGUAGCGAUGGAUUGUGAGGGUCCCUCCAAUCAGUACAGCAUCCCUGGGGGGCAUCCAGACUUAGCCUGACUUCUUACAGGGACCGAGAGCUAAUUAUCGCUCAGGGGACACAGAGGGAAUAGACAGACGUAGACAGUGAGGUGACAUUAUGUAAUUCUCACAAGCUGAUUUAAUAACCCCGUUCUGAUUCACCACUAAGUGUAACAUUUAUUAUUAUUAAGCACAUACUCUGGGCGUGGCAGACAUGCUAAAACCAACCUGAGCUUGUGCCCCGAGAGAGGGCUUCACAUGCCCUGGGACGUAGCCGGCACUGAGCCCUGUCCUUGCUGUCUCGGUGUUGGUAAAAUACAGUGAAAAUUCAAAGGGUGAUGCUGGAAAAUGGCCAUGAUAAAGCCUGGCAUACAGUAAGUGCCCAGUAAAUCUUUGUUUCAGUUUUCUUGCAGAGAGAACAGCAAUUAUUUCUACCAGGGCAGGCAACUGUGGGUGGUGGACACAGGACCACCUUGCUAGAAACAACAUUUCCCAGCCUCCUUUGCAGCUGGUGGGCUGUUUAUCCAAGUUCUGGUGCAUGUGAGCUCCAGUCAGGAGUGCAACUUCCUGGCAGGGCCUCAAAACACUGGGCAUGCUCCCCCCUCCCCAUUCCCCAUCUCUGGGCUGACAGGCUUGGCAGGGACUUAGUUUCAACCACAGUGAGGAGAACAGUGUCCUGGAACAUGACAGAAAUGAAAAGGGGUGAGAUCGGGAGCAGCACCUCCUCGCCAGCCCACCCUCCUGGCUGUUACUGGAAAGGAGGCGAGCAACAUCUCUCUCAGGUACCCAAGAAUCCACUCUUUGACUCCAGUGGAAGAACCUUGGGGGCCGUGGUUUCAAUCUAGACAGGGACCUGAUCACAGCAAAGAGCAGUGUGAGCUCCCGAACUUGAGCUUCGCUAAGUGCUAGUCGGAGCGACGGCAGAGCUGGACUGAGUCCUGGCUUUCCUGCCACAGGAUCCAGGCACAGGGUCUGUGACCUGGGGGAGCCCCUGUGUG